rnacentral:rRNA from 1 species
GACGAACGCUGGCGGCGUGCUUAACACAUGCAAGUCGAGCGGAGCGGCUAACGGGUGAGUAACGCGUGAGUAACUGCCCCCCUCUCUGGGAGUACAUUUGGAAACGGCUGCUAAUACCGGAUAGUGGCGGAUGACUCGCGUCCUAUCAGCUUGUUGGUGGGGUAGUGGCUUACCAAGGCGAUGACGGGUAGCCGGCCUGAGGGGGUGACCGGCCACAUAGGGCUGAGGAACGGCACAGACUCCGAAGGGAGGCAGAAGUGGGGGAUAUUGCACAAUGGGCGAAAGCAUGAUGCAGCGACGCCGCGUGGGGGAUGAAGGCUUUCGGGUUGUAAACCUCUUUCGCUAUCGAAAGGGUAGGUGGAGAAGAAGCGCCGGCUAACUACGUGCCAGCAGCCGCGGUAAUAC